UGUGUCUUUACUGUGUUAGCAUAGUAUAUUAGUUUUUUUACUGAGGAUAAAAGUACUGAGAUGAGUUUGGAUGAGCCAAUAUUUCUUCCCCGCCAAGGAAGGACCCAUCUUGGUCCGGAGCAAAAGGGAUGGUGGUGAAUUGAGUAAUCUCAUUAGGAGUUGGUUGAUUCAGGGACAAUCCAGGCACAGUGCUUGUUGUAAGGGAUGCCAAUUCUCGAGCAACAAAACAUGGUGGUGUAAAAGAUGGUGGAAAUGACUAAGAAUAUUGCAGUGUGAAGCCAUGAUAGAUGAUAACAUGUGCUGGGAGAGGUGAGCAUAGGAGAAAGUUUACUGGCCAUGAUCCUAUAUUUCUUGGAGUUUGAAUAUGGUAAGGGUGGCCUGAAUAUCUGUGGAAUGAAUCAGCGGAUGUAUACCGGGCUCAAGAACCAGCCAGAACUGAAAACCUAAUCUCAGCUUGCAAGUCUUUGAGUCUACGAAAACGGAGAACUACACAUCACACAUUUCAUUUAGUCCUGUAUCCAUUGUGAACUGAUUAAGAUAUUUGACACUUGUGAGUAACUUUGGGGGAUAAAGACUUCUGCACAAGACUUGGAAAUUUCCCACCAUCUCAACUCUCGGGCCUUCGGAAAGGGGAAAUAAGCCAAGGAAAAAGAAGAGUAAAGAGAGAACCAAUCGAAGUGGCUGCUAUAUGCACAGCCCAUUGACUAACAAUCCUCCACAAGUUGUAAGUCGGGGAUGUGUUAAUAUACUCAAUAUACUGCAAUGGUUUCAUUUCAUCGAGUUAUUUCAGAGAUAUCCCUCUAUAACUUUCUACGUUGACUCUACUGUAUUUGCAAACUUCAUAUCGAUGGCCAACAUUAUGCUCAAUGCCAUUAGAGAGGGUUCAAUACAAGAGAGGGCUUGAAUUGA